UGUAACUUCCAUUAUUAUGAUUAAUAGGAUGAAGAUCAAGCAGAUACUGCAUUAUUACCAUCACUAACUAAUGCAGGACAAGUAAAGGUUAUGAAUGUGCCAUUGUACAUGUCAACUCACACUAGCAGACAGUCACAGGCUAUGGAGGCACGAGCACUUCACUUACAAACAUUACAAGCCUUUCAGGAUAGAAGGAAAGGAAGGAGAUAGUACUUAUUUUAUAAUAAUAUAAUCA